rnacentral:rRNA from 1 species
CUCAAUGAAAUUUCAAUAGCCGCAAUCCUUGCGCUAAGGUAGCAUAAUCACUCGUUUUUUAAUUAAAAACUCGAAUAAAAGAUUUAACAUUUCUAUUUCUUUCUUAUUUAUAUUUAUUUAAUUUAUCUUAAAUAUAAAAAGAUAUUUAUUUAACAAAAAGACGACAAGACCCUAUUGAACUUAACUGAAGUUAUACUGGGGCAGUAAAUUAAAUAUAAUUUUAAUUAAAAAUAUACAAACAACCUAAUAUAAUUAAAUAUAUCAAGUUACCAUAGGGAUAACAGCGUUAUCAUUUUUCACAGUUCUUAUCUAAAAAAUUUCUUGCGACCUCGAUGUUGAAUUAAUAUUCUAUUAAAUGUAAUAAUUUAAUAAGAAAGUCUGUUCGACUU